rnacentral:rRNA from 1 species
UACGAAGGGUGCAAACGUUGCUCGGAAUUAUUGGGCGUAAAGCGCACGUAGGCGGCUUAGCAAGUCGGAUGUGAAAUCCCUCGGCUCAACCAAGGAAGUGCAUCCGAAACUGCAGAGCUUGAGUACUUAAGAGGAUCGCGGAACUCCCGGUGUAGAGGUGAAAUUCGUAGAUAUCGGGAGGAACACCAGUGGCGAAGGCGGCGAUCUGGGAAGAUACUGACGCUGAGGUGCGAAAGCGUGGGGAGCAAACAGG